CCUACGGGAGGCAGCAGUGGGGAAUAUUGGGCAAUGGGCGCAAGCCUGACCCAGCAACGCCGCGUGAAGGAAGAAGGCUUUCGGGUUGUAAACUUCUUUUCUCAGGGACGAAGAAAGUGACGGUACCUGAGGAAUAAGCCACGGCUAACUACGUGCCAGCAGCCGCGGGAAUCCGUAGGUGGCAAGCGUUAUGCGGAUUUAUUGGGUGUAAAGGGCGUGUAGGCGGGAGCGCAAGUCAGAUGUGAAAGGUCAGGGCUCAACCCUAAUACUGCAUUUGAAACUGUGUUUCUUGAGUGCAGGGGAGGUAAUCGGAAUUCCGGGUGUAGCGGUGAAAUGCGUAGAUAUACGGAGGAACACCAGUGGCGAAGGCGGAUUACUGGACAGUAACUGACGUUGAGGCGCGAAAGCGUGGGGAGCAAACAGGAUUAGAUACCCCUGUAGUC
rnacentral:rRNA from 1 species